rnacentral:rRNA from 1 species
GAUUUCUGGUUUGACAUGCCUGGCCCGCCGGGGUCACCUGUGUGAGUGCCGGUGCGCGUCUACCAUCCUUCUGCAGAACGGCCUUACCCUUCACUGGGCCGAGGUCGCGAUGCAGAUCUUUUACUUUGAAAAAAUUAGAGUGUUUAAAGCAGGCUUACGCUGUGAAUACAUUAGCAUGGAAUAAUAAUUUAGGACUUCGGUUCUAUUUUGUUGGUUUCUAGGACUGAAGUAAUGAUUGAUAGGGACAGUUGGGGGUGCUAGUAUUCCGCGGCCAGAGGUGAAAUUCUUGGAUUCGCGGAAGACUAACUACUGCGAAAGCAUU